UGUGAACUCGAAGAGUAGGGCGGGACACGUGGUAUCCUGUCUGAAUAUGGGGGGACCAUCCUCCAAGGCUAAAUACUCCUGACUGACCGAUAGUGAACCAGUACCGUGAGGGAAAGGCGAAAAGAACCCCGGCGAGGGGAGUGAAAAAGAACCUGAAACCGUGUACGUACAAGCAGUGGGAGCACCUUCGGGUGUGACUGCGUACCUUUUGUAUAAUGGGUCAGCGACUUAUAUUCUGUAGCAAGGUUAACCGUAUAGGGGAGCCGCAGGGAAACCGAGUCUUAACUGGGCGUUAAGUUGCAGGGUAUAGACCCGAAACCCGGUGAUCUAGCCAUGGGCAGGUUGAAGGUUGGGUAACACUAACUGGAGGACCGAACCGACUAAUGUUGAAAAAUUAGCGGAUGACUUGUGGCUGGGGGUGAAAGGCCAAUCAAACCGGGAGAUAGCUGGUUCUCCCCGAAAGCUAUUUAGGUAGCGCCUCGUGAACUCAUCUUCGGGGGUAGAGCACUGUUUCGGCUAGGGGGUCAUCCCGACUUACCAACCCGAUGCAAACUACGAAUACCGAAGAAUGUUAUCACGGGAGACACACGGCGGGUGCUAACGUCCGUCGUGAAGAGGGAAACAACCCAGACCGCCAGCUAAGGUCCCAAAGUCAUGGUUAAGUGGGAAACGAUGUGGGAAGGCACAGACAGCCAGGAUGUUGGCUUAGAAGCAGCCAUCAUUUAAAGAAAGCGUAAUAGCUCACUGGUCGAGUCGGCCUGCGCGGAAGAUGUAACGGGGCUAAACCAUGCACCGAAGCUGCGGCAGCGACACUAUGUGUUGUUGGGUAGGGGAGCGUUCUGUAAGCCUGCGAAGGUGUGCUGUGAGGCAUGCUGGAGGUAUCAGAAGUGCGAAUGCUGACAUAAGUAACGAUAAAGCGGGUGAAAAGCCCGCUCGCCGGAAGACCAAGGGUUCCUGUCCAACGUUAAUCGGGGCAGGGUGAGUCGACCCCUAAGGCGAGGCCGAAAGGCGUAGUCGAUGGGAAACAGGUUAAUAUUCCUGUACUUGGUGUUACUGCGAAGGGGGGACGGAGAAGGCUAUGUUAGCCGGGCGACGGUUGUCCCGGUUUAAGCAUGUAGGCUGGUUGUCCAGGCAAAUCCGGAUAAUCAAGGCUGAGGUGUGAUGACGAGGCACUACGGUGCUGAAGUAACAAAUGCCCUGCUUCCAGGAAAAGCCUCUAAGCAUCAGGUAACAUCAAAUCGUACCCCAAACCGACACAGGUGGUCAGGUAGAGAAUACCAAGGCGCUUGAGAGAACUCGGGUGAAGGAACUAGG
rnacentral:rRNA from 1 species